rnacentral:rRNA from 1 species
CCUACGGGUGGCUGCAGUAAGGAAUAUUGGUCAAUGGACGAAAGUCUGAACCAGCCAUGCCGCGUGGAGGAUGAAGGUCCUCUGGAUUGUAAACUUCUUUUAUAUGGGACGAAAAAAGGCCUUUCUAGGCCGUCUGACGGUACCAUAUGAAUAAGCACCGGCUAACUCCGUGCCAGCAGCCGCGUUAAUACGGAGGGUGCAAGCGUUAUCCGGAUGCGCUGGGUUUAGUGGGUGCGUCGGUGGUGAGAUAUACGAGCUUAACUUGGAAACUGCCAUUGAUACUAUUAAUCUUGAAUAUUGUGGAGGUUAGCGGAAUAUGUCAUGUAGCGGUGAAAUGCUUAGAUAUGACAUAGAACACCAAUUGCGAAGGCAGCUGGCUACACAUAUAUUGACACUGAGGCACGAAAGCGUGGGGAUCAAACAGGAUUAGAUACCCGUGUAGUC